rnacentral:hammerhead_ribozyme from 1 species
AUCCAGCUGAAGAGUCGCGAGAUAGGAUGAAACGCGUGUCCUGGAU